UACGAAGGGGGGCUAGCGUUGCUCGGAAUUACUGGGCGUAAAGGGAGCGUAGGCGGACUGUUAAGUUAGAGGUGAAAGCCCAGGGCUCAACCUUGGAAUUGCCUUUGAUACUGGCAGUCUUGAGUACGGAAGAGGUAUGUGGAACUCCGAGUGUAGAGGUGAAAUUCGUAGAUAUUCGGAAGAACACCAGUGGCGAAGGCGACAUACUGGUCCGUUACUGACGCUGAGGCUCGAAAGCGUGGGGAGCAAACAGG
rnacentral:rRNA from 1 species